rnacentral:rRNA from 1 species
GAUGAACGCUCGCGGGAGGCCUAACACAUGCAAGCCGAGCGGUAUUUGUUCUUCGGAACAGAGAGAGCGGCGCACGGGUGCGGAACACGUGUGCAACCUGCCUUUAUCUGGGGGAUAGCCUUUCGAAAGGAAGAUUAAUACCCCAUAAUAUAUUGAGUGGCAUCAUUUGAUAUUGAAAACUCCGGUGGAUAGAGAUGGGCACGCGCAAGAUUAGAUAGUUGGUGAGGUAACGGCUCACCAAGUCAAUGAUCUUUAGGGGGCCUGAGAGGGUGAUCCCCCACACUGGUACUGAGACACGGACCAGACUCCUACGGGAGGCAGCAGUGAGGAAUAUUGGACAAUGGGUUAGCGCCUGAUCCAGCCAGCCCGCGUGAAGGACGACGGCCCUAUGGGUUGUAAACUUCUUUUGUAUAGGGAUAAACCUACUCUCGGGAGAGUAGCUGAAGGUACUAUACGAAUAAGCACCGGCUAACUCCGUG